rnacentral:pre_miRNA from 1 species
AUCAGUUUUCGUGCAAGUCAAACUUGUGUAUGUUUGACCAAGAUUAUAGAAUAAAAUAUCAAUAUCUACAAUAUAAAAUAAAUAUAUUUUCUAUGAUGGAUCUAAUGAUACAAUUUUGGUAUUGAGAUAUUGAUACUUUUUUCUAAAAACUUGGUCAAACAUUUACAUGUUUGACUUUCAAAAAACUAAU